ACUGCAGGCAGAGACAGGGAGAAAUGUCCACAUGAAGGCUUGGCACAGUCUUUGCAGGGCCGCGCCCAUCCCUGCUUUGCAACCUGCCUGCCAUUCCCUCGAGAAUCCUCCCAGCAUCCAGCGCCAAGGCCCAACCAACCCCCACUCUCUGCCUCCCAGCUAUUUUGCUUCCCUCCUCCCGCACCACUCAACAAGUACUUAAUGAAAUCAAACAAAUGGAAUGUAUGAGCCUGAUUUGAACCCCAAUUCAAACAAAUCUGAAUGCUAGACAUUGGAAAGAAUCAAUCUCUCCAGAUCUCCAAACCCAGGAAAAUCAGGGGACUUCUUGCCAGUCCCCCUUCAGCUCCAGAUCAUGUGAUUCUCCUAACCCUCAGGACUGACACUGUUCUCUAGCUGUGGGUCCUGAUACCUUAGGAUAAAUGACUCAAGCUCCUCGCUUAGCAAGACUCACCUGGAGAAAAUCAAGAUCAGGCUUUUGAGCUGUCUCCUGGAUCUGGCUGCUGAGCUUGGACAGCUGGGUGAUCUCACUCCCGAGCUGGGCCAGGUUCUCAUUCUGCUUCUGUGUCACCUCCUGGGACAGUUCCUCCAGGCGGCCCAGCAGCCGGCCCUCCUGCUCCACUAGGAAGGCCCUCAGUGCCUGGAACUCUGCCCCCACCUUCUCCUGCUCUGCUGCCAUCUGCUUCUGUCCCAGGAAGAGAAGUUGGAGAGAUGUGCCUGCACAUGCCUGUGGACCUGGGCUCCACCACCUAAACCAAGGCAGCAUCAUACUCUACCUACAACUAUGCCAACCUGCAGAUUCCUUACUUGAAAAGUAGAAGGGAGGCCAGGUGUGAUGGCUUACACCAGUAAUCCCAGCACUUUGAGAGGCCAAGGCUGGAGGAUCACCGGAGUUCGGGAGUUCGAGACCAGCCUGACCAACAUGGCAAAACCCCAUCUCUACUAAACAUACAAAAUUAGCUGGGCCUGGUGGCACAUGCCUGUAAUCCCAGCUACUCAAGAGGCUGAGGCAGGAGAAUCACUUGAAUGCAGGAGGUGGAGGUCGCAAUGAUCCGAGAUCAUGCCAUUGAACUCCAACCCAGGAGGCAGUGCAAGACUCCGUCUCAAAAAAAACAAAACGGGGCAGAAGGGAUAAAUUAGUGCCUCCUGGGGCAACCAUAGGAUUAAACCGAGAUUGCUUUUUCUUCCUCAAGCACAUUUACUUUAUCACCCUCAAACUUUCACUCUUCACUUUACUUCUUUUUAAAGGUGAUCUUUCCUGUUUAGUAAUUAUAAUGGUAACAAAUGCUCAAAAUACAAACCCUGGGAGAUGUAGGAAAGUAGAAAGGAGGAAGAAAAAUCCAAUGCCAGUGACCAGAGGUAGCAGCAUACCCCCAAGGAACUAAGUGAGAAUAUGCUACGUGCAAGCUGGAUAUUCUAUUCUUUCCAUUAACGGCAUAUAUGGGAUUUUUUACUCCUUAGUUUUCAGAUGCAGACUCAUUCCCUGACCUCUUGAUUUUUUUAUGUGAACACAUUUGUGGUACUCAGUAUGUCCCACCAGGAAGUUCUUCUUCCUUGAAAACUCCUGGGUGGAGGAAGGGAAUUCCAGGAAGUUGGGAGACCUGGGUUCAGGUGUCCCACAGUGCCCUCACCUUGCCUUCAGCUUCCAGGCAGGCUGCAGUAGCCCUGAGCACCUUAUAGGUAUUAACUCCCUCAGCCCUGACAGCAGCCCAGUGAGGUGGGCACACUUCCCCUCGAGUCUUACAGGUAAGAAGACAAAGACAGACACAUCACCAGAAAGUGUUAAGCCAGGCUUCUAGGCCAGGGAGCCAGACCCCAGAGCCUGAGCUUCUGGCAGCUAUAUCAUAUUGCCUUGCAAAGAAAUAACAUAAGUGAAACAGUAUUUGCCAAAAUACUAGUCUAAACCAGGGUUUCCCCACCUUAACUCGGUUGACACUUUGGGCCAGAUACUUCUUGGUCAUGGGAGGCUGUCCUGUGCCUUGCAGGAUGUUUAGCAGCCCUUCUGGCCUCUACCACCAAAUGCCAAUAGCAUCCCUAUCCCAUUGUUGACAACCAAAAAUAUAAAAUCUCCAGACUUUGCCAGAUGUCCCCUGGGGUAGGAGUAUUUUCAAAUAAGAAUAUUCCUUCUCCCUUUUAUGUUGCAGCGAUAGUUGGACUCUACCUCUGAUGUUUCAUUAAGCAGGGUAUUGUAAAUGACACAAGUAUUGUAAAUCAUAGAAGUAUUUUAUAACUGUGAAGAAUGGGUGAACUCAUUCUUUAUGUAGUCUCCUGUAAUCUCAGCAUUUUGGGAGACUGAGAGGGAUGAAAUCUGAGGAGGGGGAUUGCUUGAGUCCACAAGUUCCAGACCAGCCUAGGCAACAUAGGAGACCACCCCCUACCACAACUCUACAAAAACUAAAUAAAAAAUUAGCCAGGUGUAGUGGUGCACACCUGUAGUCCCAGCUACUCAGGAGGCUGAAAUGGGGGGAAUCACUUGAACUACUUUAGCCAUAGUGAUAAAGUGAGACCCUUCUAAAAGCAAAGCAAAACAAAACAAUAAAAAUGAAUGUGGGGGUGGAUGGGUGAAUGUUGGGAGAGGACAGAGUUGGAAGGUGUGAAGCAAGGCCUGGGGAGUUAGAUCAGAGACCUCCACUGCCACCAAUGCCUGCGAAGGCCCUCUGGUUCAUGGAUGUCAACCAAUGACAGAAGAGCUGUGUUGGGACUAUAUCUCCAGCGGAAGAGGGAUGAAGGUCUAGAGGGGUGCCUGGCUCACCAGGAGCUCCUUGCUCUCCUUCUUUUCCGUGGACCGGAACACCUCAUAGUCCUCCAGUUCCUUCUUCAACACCCUCAGCCUGGACUCCAAGAGCUCCUGCAGGUGAAGGGAUGUAAGGUGUGGGAAGGUGGGGGGAUUCUGGAAACCCCCACCUGUGCCUUCCUGGAGCCAGCCAGGAGAAGGGGAAGCCCCUGCUCACUGAGGGAGAGGCCGGGUAGAAGUCAUCUCUACAGGCUGCAGGCCACACUUCGAGGUGACUCUGAAGGCCUCGGGAUCUUGCUUCCCCAAGAGCAUCUGCUGGACCAGCCAGACUGAAACACAAUCCUCCAGCAGCCCUACCUCUAGUCGUCUCCUCUGCUAUCCGCCCCACCAUCUGGAAGCCCUCUGGGUGGGAGAGUUGGAGCAGGAUAGGUGAGCAAGGAGAGACUGGGAACUGCCACCCAAGCCUCCCCACCCCGCCCCCACCCCUGCGUACAUCCUCGCGCGGGCUCGGCGAGAAAAUAGCAGAGGAAGGGCGCCCAGAAUUGACAGCCUUGGCACAGUCAGACGGCUCUAGGUGCGCUGCUUAACCCAGGAGCCCCAUCCCUGGACCUCUUGGAGAGGUCCUCCAAAUCAUUUCCACGAGGUGCUUAGCCGGGCCUAAUUCCUCUCUCUUGGAAUCCCUUGGUCAAGAUCCGCUGGAGUCAGCAGAGGACCCUGGAACAGGUUUUCGCAGCAGCUGAGAUCCAGCUCACACUGGUUGCCAUCCACUCCCGGUGCCUUGAGCUAAGCAACGAAUAGGGAUGAUCCAGGAGGGAUCUGCAGUGUGGGUGGGGAUGUAGCUCAGUGGUAGAGCGCAUGCUUUGCAUGUAUGAGGCCCCGGGUUCGAUCCCCGGCAUCUCCAGCAAAGUUUUGCACCUUCAAUAUCUGUUUUCGAUUUUCCUUUCAAAUUUUGAAAUCUAGCACCUUUGCAGAGCGCCAGGAAAAGCCCCAGAGGUUGGAGUCUGCUGAGUGAAGAAAGACCGCGGCGGCCCCUGACAUCCUCUGGGCCCCACUCAUUGUCCUUCCCUCCUGUUUAAAAAUCCACACGGCACCAGGCUGGAGGGCAGUGGCUCCACCUCACCUCACUGCAACCUCCGCCGCUGGAGUUCAAGCAAUUCUCCUGCCUCAGCCUCCCAAGCAGCUGGGACUACAGCGCUGAUUCUGAAGAGGCUAUCAUGUUCUCUUCACUUGCAAAGCCAGGACACCAUUAGAAAGGAUGGCUCAGUUGUUUCUUACUCUGCACAUCUUCUUCCUUAGACAGGAAGAAUCCAACCAGACAUAAGAAAUAAAAUGUAUGGCCAGAUGCUGUGGCUCACGCCUGUAAUUCCGGCAUUGUGGGAGGCAGAGGAGCGCUGUACUCGGGAUCCCGACAACCGCCGCGGCUGCUUCCCUGAAGCCUUUGCUGCCUUUUCCCUGGAAUCGCUGAAGAGGCCCACUGGGGACUGCCCUCCACAGCCACCACGGACACAAAAGCCUUGUCAGGGCUGCAGGCGGGCCUGCACUGGGAGGCACGCUCCACUCCCGGCGGGCCUGCACUGGGGACACACGCCGGGAACCGGAGCGGACAACAUGGAUGCGAGGCGCUGGGGCGGUCCCGCGGAGAAGAGGUGGGGGCAGGCGCGAGAAGUCAACGGGGUGGAAAGUCUCAGCCUCGCUCGCACUCACUGCAGUGGGAUGAGAGCCAAUACUCUCCCGUAGCGCCGCGCAGCGCCGCGCAGUGCCGCAAGGCGUGGGUGUCUGCACCACUCGGUUUUGUCUUAAAACUUACUGGAACUCCGCUUUUCACGCAGUCACCAGCAGUCCUCCGUCCGAGCCUGCGCGAGUUUUCCGCCUGUAUUUCAGUUGAAUUUCUCUGUGCCGUUUAUUUUCCAUUCCGUGUCCUUUAGCUCCAUCUCACACGUUCCAUCGCUUCGUGUGAUCUGUCCAUGCCUGUGGCCUCAUCUGUAAACAACCUUCCCAGAAUGGUUAGGUUCCUCUGAGGGAAGCCCAGGGCCACACCUGCAGACAACUUGCUGUGUGGUGGACGUUGUAGUUAUCGCCGUCACUAUUGACCUUCCGGUGCACACCUUGGACCAAGCAUUUCCAACCCGAGCCUUCUUGCACGUUUUAAUCGUUCAUCUGUCAUUCCGUAGCAUACCCCGGUGGCUGGCUGUAUUUGAUUCGCCGGGACUUUGCAGGCAGGCCCUAAUAAUGACCAGCAAGACCACUUACUUCUCACCCUAAUAUUCCAAACGUAGACGUGGAAUACACCGGUUGAAGUUGAUCGGCAAUGGAUUAAAAAAUCUGGCUGGUCUGGAAGUGGUGGCUCACACCGGUUAAUCCCAGCACUUUGGGAAGCCAAGGCGGGCGGAUCACAAGGUCAAGAGAUGGAGAUCAUCCUGGCUAACAUGGUGAAACCCCGUCUCUACUAAAAAUACAAAAAUUAGCUUGGCGUGGUGGCUCGUACCUGUAGUCUCAGCCACUCGGGUGGCUGAGGCAGGAGAAUCGCUUGAACUCGGGAGGCGGAGGUUGCAGUGAGCCGAGAUCGUGCAGCUGUACUCACUCCAGCCUGGCGAUAGAGCGAGACUUUAUCUCAAAAAAAAAAGGAAAAAGAAUCUGGCUGGUCUGUAAGUGUAGUAUAAAAAUUUGUGAACAUUUAUACAUAUAGAAUCUGUAGUAAAAAAAAAACCUUUUUGAAGCUGGGUGUGGUGGCUCACGCCUGUACUCCCAGCACUUUGGGAGGCCAAGGCGGGUGGAUCACGAGAUCAGGAGUUGAAGACCAACAUGACCAAAAUGGUGAAACCCUGUCUCUACUAAAAAAAAAAAAAAAGUUGGGCACGGUGGUGGGCUCCUGUAUGCUACUCCGUAGGAUGAGGCAGAAUUGCUUGAACCUGGGAGUCCGAGGUUGCAGCGCCACUUCACUCCAGCCUGGCGACAGAGCGAGACUCCGUCUCAAAAAACGAAAUAGAUGAAAUAGUAAAUAAAUAAAUGAAAUUAGAAAAAUAGGAAAAAAACUUUUUGAGCUUGAAGGAAAACACGACUUCUAUGUUUCCACUCAGCUUCCAACCGGGAACCCUUGUAUGUCAGGCAAACGUGCUAACCACUACACUACAGAAACAGAUGCUGAUAGUGAGUGCUAUUAUUUUUAUAAGUCUUACUGUCAGCAUCUAAGUAUAAGCUAAUUGAGUCAGGGCUCUUAGACCCAUUCUUCCCCGGAACACCAGCCUUCUUGUGGCCCUGAGUUGUGGUGUUUGUCAAACUGUAAAGCGUUACCUCUAAGAGUACCCUAGUCACGUCCGGCAGUUAAACCAAAACCAAACAAAACAAAAAACUAGUAUCACAGGAGGAAAGGCAAAUGUGCCGUCAGAUACGCUUCCACAUUGGUUCCUUUUCUUCCAGGGAAGACAGCCAGAGGUUUUAAUUUUCACAUGAUUUGUGCUUUACAGACAGUAAUGACAGGAUUUAAAAAUGCAAUAUGCAUUCAAAGAACAUGAUAUUUAAAUAUAUUUUGUUAAAAUGUAAAUUAUAGUAAAUGUAAAAAUCAAAAAAUGAGGCUGGGCCCGGUGGCUCACGCCUGUAAUCCCAGUACUUCGGGAGGCCGAGGUGGGUGGAUCACUAGGUCAAGAAAUCGAGACCAUCUUGGCCAACAUAGUGAAACCCCGUCUCCACUAAAAUGCAAAAAUUAGCUGGGCGUGGUGGUGCGGGCCUGUAGUCCCAGCUACGAGGGAGAAUUGCUUGAACCCGGGAGGCAGAGGUUGCAGUAAGCGGAAAUCGCACCACUGCUUUCCAACCUGGCCCCUGGUGACAGAGUGACACUCUGUCUCA